rnacentral:lncRNA from 1 species
CCCAUCCUUCUCCACACAAGCGGGAUGCUACCUCCCUGGUAGAGCGAGCAUGAAACGCAAAUAUUCAGAGCAUGUCAAGGUGUAAUACGGACAGAGAGGGAGAGAGGGGGAGGUGGAGGGAUAUUGGAAUUCAUGUCACAGGAUCUAUACAUAAGAUAAUAAUAGUUGUCAACAUCAAAUGAAUUUCCUCUUUGACAAGUAGGUAUUGGAAAUGAGGGUCCGCAUGGAAACGGACCUUUUCUAGGCAGGAGGAGGCACGGGAUCAAGUGACAUUAUUUAUUGCCCGGGUGUAGGCAAUUUGAGUUAAUUAAGGGAUCAUCAUCAAAUCAGGAUGUAUAAAGGAACGUCUUAUAAGCUGAGAUUAUGGACGGCGGGUCCCAUAUCAAAGCCGCCAAAAACCUAAAAAUAAUAAAAGGACUGAGCCCGAGGUGGCCUGGCGAAGCCACUGGCUAUACAACACUUCAACUUCCACCGGGAAAAAACCAUGAAAAGCGUUGUCCAUAGAUUCAGGUCGUAGUCAUAGAAUUGAACUGAGCGUGAGGGCUUAAAGAAUCUAAAAGACAACAUGCUAACAAAACACGGAUCCAAAGAGUAGCUUCAAGAAAGAUUGGGUGGAGAGAAAAUACGAAGGCCUUCUUCAGGUUCCCUGCCGAUGUUCGCGCAUCAACGAUUUUGUUUCAUGCAGAUCAUACUUUCCAGUUGUUAGGGUUCUGAAAUGGGAAACGGGGCCCCAGGAUGGAAUGGCCUGCCCUCUGGCUAUCUUAGUUGGAGAGAAGAUGAUUCUCCAAAGUGUAAAACGAGUUGAGUAAAUAGAUAUCUCAAGAUUGUGACGAGGGCCACAUUAGAAUGAUGAGAGUAACUGUGUGAAUGGGACUGACGACAGAGUAUAUAUUUGGACGAGAGAGGAGGUUUUCUCACAAAGUGGGAAAGCAGAGUGGAAGAAAUAGGAGGGGGAAAAGAUGAGGGCAUGAAGAAUGAGAAUGGGAUGUCAUAUUUCAUUCCCAAUAGCCACGAGUGCAUAAUCUACUUAUACCACAAUCAACCGUCCCUCAGACUAACUAACCAACCAACCAACCUCCCUCCCUCUCUCGAUGAUAGUAAAACAUCCGCAAGAUCCAAAUCACAGAAGGUUUCAAAACAUUCCACAGAUCCCGGAUUAGUUAUCAAAGACAUAAAUCUCUAUCCAACUGCUCUUUCCUAAGUUUUUUUCUAGUAUUUCCUUCGAAAAGGAAACACUAACCCUCCAUCCUCGAUCCAGGUGUGCAUUCGCCUACUUUGAUUCACGUGUACAUUUGCAGACUUUCGACGACAAAACGCGGCCCAUUCAUCGGAUCUGAACAAGAUAGCCAAAAGCCACAGCACGACCAGCAACCUUCACACGAUCCAUUGAUACAUGUCGGUUCAGCAAACGAAAUAAGACGGAAGAAGAUCAUCCUUCCUGGCGAUCCGUAGGAAAACAGAAAUGCCAUCCUCCCACCAUCCUACAAACCGGAUCACCCAACCCACACCCUUCACCCCUCUUCCCCCAUGGGAUUCUGCGGAGCAAAACAAACAGCCACGACGAAUCAAAAAUCACCCGCAAGAAGAGAUCAGAACACACUCCUCCAACAGAUCAACGAAGAGGCAACGAGCGGCGAACUCCACAAUCCACAGAUCAGAGGGAAUGGAAUAUCUUCACCGGAACCAAACCAAGACAAGGACCAAUCGCCGAGACGAGAUCAGAGAGAGGCUCACCAGCAAGACGAAGCAGCGUUCCUCCCACGCGAAGCAACUUCUGAGGAGAACACGAUGCCCAGCGGAUGU